rnacentral:hammerhead_ribozyme from 1 species
GCACUGCUGAGGAGUCCUAGAAUAGGACUAACCGGCCGUCCAGUGU